rfam:Echinostoma caproni strain Egypt genome assembly, scaffold: ECPE_scaffold0012900
GUACUGCUGACGAGUUCCAGACAGGACGAAACAGCUGUCCAGUGU